rnacentral:lncRNA from 1 species
UUCACGCGAAGGGCUGGAUUUCCAGGCGGCUCCGCAACUUGCGCGGCGCGGUGUUAUUAUUCAUCCGAGGGUGCUGCCUCCUCAACCUUUGCCUCCUGCGCCGCUCUCCUUCCCCCGGCCGCCGCCGCCAGCAGUGCAGUCCCUCCGGCACGCAUGCUCUGGUUCACCAAGAGGGAGACUGAUUUUUUUUAAAUCAUGCUCAUCAUCAUCAUCAUCAUCAUCAUCAUCAUCACGUUCCUUAUCAUGGUUAUCAUUUCCUCCUGCCAGGUGGAGCGACCACCAGCGCCGGCUCGCCUCCUGCGCCUUCCCCAGCGAAGGCAGCAAGCAGUUCGGGCUUGGCCCGGGCGGCCGCUCCCAGGAUGCUUCCUGCACCUCCAGCAUCCCCCCCUCAUUCAUCUGCCUGUGUAUUAUCUCGAUCCUUUUCAUUUCAGUAGAUCCACUGCCUUUGGUUGGGCCGGCUGAAUCGCUGGGGACUGCGGCCAGUCUCUUAAAAAGGAGAACAAAAAGCCGAAGACCUUGUGUGGCCGCCGGGACAAAGCACUUUGGGUUCGGCGAGAAGGGACGCGCAGGAGCGCUGAACCCAGAACACGCGUGGCCGCUGCGGAAGGGCGUCCGCCGGGCGUGCGGAACGCUGAGGGGACUCUCAUCCUCUGUCUCGCCCCCUUUUUUUGACCCGGGGAUCCAGCCGCAUUAUACAUGAGUGACCUUUUAAAUCUACGUCCACCCUUUACCUGGUAAAGCCCGCUGACAGUUGGGGGUGGGGUGGGGAGAGUGUAGGGGUGCUCUCUCCCUCUCUCCCUCCCUCCGCCUCUCCUCCCUCCCUCCCCCCUGCACUCCUCUCUCUUCCUCCCUCCCACCUCCCUCGCUCCCGCCCUCCCUGCUGCAUUUUGCAUGAGCUAUCUAGGUCAUUAGCAUUUUAGCGUAUGCAAGACUUGACAAAGCUGAUGAGGGGCCAGAUGGGCCUCGCUCUUAUGGUUUUUUUUUCUUCUUCUUCUUCUUCCUCUCUCUCUCUCUCUCUCUCUCUGUCUCUCUCUCUCGUCUCUCUUCCUUUCCCCCCUCCACCACUUGGGACCUGAGCGAGAGGACUGCAGCAGGCGAGUUCCGGAAGGCUGAAUCCCCAGGUCCCAGCCCCGGACCGCGGCAACUCGCCCCUGCGGCACGCCCGGCCCGGCUGCGCCCCCACUCAGCGAUGGAGGUAAAGAGGCGGCGGCCGCGCGCCGUGCCCCGGCUGCCGCUGCCGAGCCCCCGCUGCUCUCCUUGUCCUUCGCUCUCUUCUUCCUCCUCCUAGCCCCCUUCAGUUUCCUGGGCAAAGCAGAGGGCGACAUGGGUGGGUGGGUUUGCUGCGCUGGGGCGAGGUGGGGUCG